rnacentral:rRNA from 1 species
UACGGGGGGGGCAAGCGUUGUUCGGAAUUACUGGGCGUAAAGGGCGCGUAGGCGGUUUGCUAAGUCGGAUGUGAAAACUCUGGGCUCAACCCAGAGCCUGCAUCCGAAACUGGCAGGCUAGAGUUCUGGAGGGGGUAGCGGAAUUCCUGGUGUAGCGGUGAAAUGCGUAGAUAUCUGGAGAAUACCGGUGGCGAAGGCGGCAUCCUGGACCGACAUUGACGCUGAAAACCGAAAGCUAGGGGAGCAAACGGG